rnacentral:rRNA from 1 species
UACGUAGGGGGCUAGCGUUGUCCGGAAUCAUUGGGCGUAAAGAGCGUGUAGGCGGCCCGGUAAGUCCGCUGUGAAAGUCGGGGGCUCAACCCUCGAAUGCCGGUGGAUACUGUCGGGCUAGAGUGCGGAAGAGGCGAGUGGAAUUCCUGGUGUAGCAGUGAAAUGCGUAGAUAUCAGGAGGAACGCCAAUGGCGAAGGCAAGUCUCUGGACAGUUCCUGACGCUCAUGCACGAAGGCCAGGGGAGCAAACGGGG